rnacentral:rRNA from 1 species
AUACGUAGGGAGCGAGCGUUGUCCGGAAUUACUGGGCGUAAAGGGCGCGUAGGCGGCGCUUCAAGUCGUCUGUCAAAUGGGAGGGCUUAACCCUUUUUCGCAGACGGAACUGGAGAGCUUGAGAAGCAGAGAGGCAAACAGAAUUCCUGGUGUAGCGGUGAAAUGCGUAGAUAUCAGGAAGAAUACCAGUGGCGAAGGCGGUUUGCUGGCUGCAUACUGACGCUGAAGCGCGAAAGCCAGGGGAGCAAACGGGAUUAGAUACCCCGGUAGUCCUGGCAGUAAACGAUGUAUGCUGGGUGUGAGACUGGCGAUAGUUUCGUGCCGAAGUUAACGCGAUAAGCAUACCGCCUGGGGAGUACGGUCGCAAGAUUGAAACUCAAAGGAAUUGACGGGG